rnacentral:tRNA from 1 species
GGCGCUAUGGCUUAGUUGGUUAAAGCGCCUGUCUAGUAAACAGGAGAUCCUGAGUUCGAAUCUCAGUAGUGCCU